rnacentral:rRNA from 1 species
AAGAAAAAAAUGGGGAAAAAAUUUUUAAGGCCUUCCAGGGGUAGGUUCCAAUGGUCAGAAAAAGGGUUCCAAACCGGGGACGGUAACCCAAUCCCAAAAACCUUAUUCAGUCCGGAAUUGGAGUUGCAACUCGACUCCAUGAAGUGGAAUCGUAGUAAUCGCAGAUCAAGCAUUGCUGCGGUGAAUACGUUCCCGGGCCCUUGUACACACCGCCCGUCACACCAUGGGAGUUUGUUGCACCAGAAGCAGGUAGCUUAACCGCAAGGAGGGCGACUUGCCAGUGUGACCGAUGACUGGGGUGAAGUAGACAAGGUAGCCGUAGCGGCCGCGGAUCCUGUAAAUCACU